AUUUAUUUUUAAUGUGAGAAAGUAAACGCAUCUGUAUCUCAGGGAAAAGCUACACCACUUCAGCUUCUGGAUUCAGUCAUUCCUGCUUGUUCAGAACCACAGGGUAAAAUGAGCACUGCAUUUACAAAGGUCUAAUCACAAGUGAGGGCACCGUCUCAACCUUUCACCGGGCGUCAAGGUGCAGCGGCCUCCGUAGACUUCUGACUCAGAACACCAGGCCAGACGCCAUCUGGGAGCACAUCUAGACUUUCUAUGAUAAAAAGAAAAAACAAGAUGUGUCGGGGGCUCUUCCGGCUGUGAAAGGGCUGUAUCCCAGCAACAGCUCAUGAUGUUUCUGACAACUUACUAGCAUUUAUUUGAGGGUGAUUAAAAACAGCAUGUGUAAAGCAUUCAAA